rnacentral:rRNA from 1 species
CGCGUAGGCGGUCUUGCAAGUCCCGUGUGAAAUCCCUCGGCUCAACUGAGGAAUGGCACGGGAAACUGCUUGGCUUGAGUUCGGGAGAGGGAAGCGGAAUUCCGGGUGUAGCGGUGAAAUGCGUAGAUAUCCGGAGGAACACCGGUGGCGAAGGCGGCUUCCUGGACCGACACUGACGCUGAGGCGCGAAAGCUAGGGGAGCAAACGG